GCAUAUCAAUAAGCGGAGGAAAAGAAACCAACAGGGAUUGCCCCAGUAACGGCGAGUGAAGCGGCAACAGCUCAAAUUUGAAAUCUGGCCCCCAGGGCCCGAGUUGUAAUUUGCAGAGGAUGCUUUUGGCGCGGUGCCUUCCGAGUUCCCUGGAACGGGACGCCAUAGAGGGUGAGAGCCCCGUCUGGUCGGACGCCUAGCCUGUGUAAAGCUCCUUCGACGAGUCGAGUAGUUUGGGAAUGCUGCUCUAAAUGGGAGGUAUAUGUCUUCUAAAGCUAAAUACCGGCCAGAGACCGAUAGCGCACAAGUAGAGUGAUCGAAAGAUGAAAAGCACUUUGAAAAGAGGGUUAAAUAGUACGUGAAAUUGUUGAAAGGGAAGCGCUUGUGACCAGACUUGGGCCCGGUGGAUCAUCCAGCGUUCUCGCUGGUGCACUCCGCCGGGUUCAGGCCAGCAUCAGUUCGCCGCGGGGGAAAAAGGCUUCGGGAACGUGGCUCCUACGGGAGUGUUAUAGCCCGUUGCAUAAUACCCUGGGGCGGACUGAGGUUCGCGCUCCGCAAGGAUGCUGGCGUAAUGGUCAUCAGCGACCCGUCUUGAAACACGGACCAAGGAGUCGUCUUCGUAUGCGAGUGUUCGGGUGUAAAACCCCUACGCGUAAUGAAAGUGAACGCAGGUGAGAGCUUCGGCGCAUCAUCGACCGAUCCUGAUGUUCUCGGAUGGAUUUGAGUAAGAGCAUACGGGGCCGGACCCGAAAGAAGGUGAACUAUGCCUGUAUAGGGUGAAGCCAGAGGAAACUCUGGUGGAGGCUCGCAGCGGUUCUGACGUGCAAAUCGAUCGUCAAAUAUGGGCAUGGGGGCGAAAGACUAAUCGAACCUUCUAGUAGCUGGUUUCCGCC
rnacentral:rRNA from 1 species